GAAGAGGGCUGUGAGAUCUGGUGUGGCAGACUCGAAAUCUAUUGAAGGGUCACACCUUCCGAGGGUUCGAAUCCCUCCCUCUCCG
rnacentral:tRNA from 1 species